rnacentral:rRNA from 1 species
AUUGAACGCUGGCGGCAUGCUUUACACAUGCAAGUCGAACGGUAACAGGGAGCUUGCUCCGCUGACGAGUGGCGAACGGGUGAGUAAUGCAUCGGAACGUACCCAGUCGUGGGGGAUAACGUAGCGAAAGUUACGCUAAUACCGCAUACGUCCUGAGGGAGAAAGCGGGGGACCGUAAGGCCUCGCGCGAUUGGAGCGGCCGAUGUCGGAUUAGCUAGUUGGUAGGGUAAAGGCCUACCAAGGCGACGAUCCGUAGCGGGUCUGAGAGGAUGAUCCGCCACACUGGGACUGAGACACGGCCCAGACUCCUACGGGAGGCAGCAGUGGGGAAUUUUGGACAAUGGGCGAAAGCCUGAUGCAGCGACGCCGCGUGAGGGAUGACGGCCUUCGGUUGUAAACCUCUUUCAGCAGGGAAGAAGCGAAGUGACGGUACCUGCAGAAGAAG